rnacentral:rRNA from 1 species
UUGCACAAUGGGCGCAAGCCUGAUGCAGCAACGCCGCGUAAGGGACGAAGGCCUUCGGGUUGUAAACCUCUUUUAGUAGGGAAGAAGCGACUGGGUUUUCCUGGGAGUGACGGUACCUGCAGAAAAAGCACCGGCUAACUACGUGCCAGCAGCCGCGGUAAUACGUAGGGUGCAAGCGUUGUCCGGAAUUAUUGGGCGUAAAGAGCUCGUAGGCGGUUUGUCGCGUCUGCUGUGAAAACCCGAGGCUCAACCUCGGGCCUGCAGUGGGUACGGGCAGACUAGAGUGCGGUAGGGGAGAUUGGAAUUCCUGGUGUAGCGGUGGAAUGCGCAGAUAUCAGGAGGAACACCAAUGGCGAAGGCAGAUCUCUGGGCCGUAACUGACGCUGAGGAGCGAAAGCAUGGGGAGCGAACAGGAUUAGAUACCCUGGUAGUCCAUGCCGUAAACGUUGGGAACUAGAUGUGGGGACCAUUCCACGGUCUCCGUGUCGCAGCUAACGCAUUAAGUUCCCCGCCUGGGGAGUACGGCCGCAAGGCUAAAACUCAAAGGAAUUGACGGGGGCCCGCACAAGCGGCGGAGCAUGCGGAUUAAUUCGAUGCAACGCGAAGAACCUUACCAAGGCUUGACAUAUACCGGAAACGGCUGGAAACAGUCGCCCCGCAAGGUCGGUAUACAGGUGGUGCAUGGUUGUCGUCAGCUCGUGUCGUGAGAUGUUGGGUUAAGUCCCGCAACGAGCGCAACCCUCGUCCUAUGUUGCCAGCACGUAAUGGUGGGAACUCAUGGGAUACUGCCGGGGUCAACUCGGAGGAAGGUGGGGAUGACGUCAAAUCAUCAUGCCCCUUAUGUCUUGGGCUUCACGCAUGCUACAAUGGCCGGUACAAAGGGCUGCGAUACCGCAAGGUGGAGCGAAUCCCAAAAAGCCGGUCUCAGUUCGGAUUGAGGUCUGCAACUCGACCUCAUGAAGUCGGAGUCGCUAGUAAUCGCAGAUCAGCAACGCUGCGGUGAAUACGUUCCCGGGCCUUGUACACACCG